CUAUGCGCCUUGCCAGCCCGCUCAGAAACUUAAUGAAUUGGACGGGGCCCGCACAAGCGGAGGAGCAUGUGGUUUAAUUCGAUGAUACGCGAGGAACCUUACCUGGGCUUAAAUGCUUAAUGACGUACUGGGAAACUGGUAUUUCUUCGGACAUUUUGCAAGGUGCUGCAUGGUUGUCGUCAGCUCGUGCCGUGAGGUGUCGGGUUAAGUCCCAUAACGAGCGCAACCCCUAUUGUUAGUUGCCAUCAGGUCAUGCUGGGGACUCUAACAAAACUGCCCGCGUAAGCGUGGAGGAAGGUGGGGAUGACGUCAAAUCAGCACGGCCCUUACGUCCAGGGCUACACACGUGCUACAAUGGCCGGUACAGAGGGCAGCCACUUGGUGACAAGGAGCAAAUCUCAAAAGCCGGUCUCAGUUCGGAUCGGAGUCUGCAACUCGACUCCGUGAAGUUGGAAUCGCUAGUAAUCGUAGAUCAGCAUGCUACGGUGAAUACGUUCCCGGGCCUU
rnacentral:rRNA from 1 species